rnacentral:rRNA from 1 species
CGGGAAUGUGACGUUAGGGAGGAGAGUAAAAUUUAUAAACGCGCUGUCAUUAGUCACGUCCGCCUGUCCAAGUUCAUCUUGAACGGGGCCGCUUACCCGCAGAGGGUGCCAGGCCCGUAGCGACGGUGGACGGCAGCGACGGUCUCCCUCCCGAGAGUCGGGUUGCUUGAGAAUGCAGCCCUAAGCGGGUGGUAAACUCCAUCUAAGGCUAAAUACGACCACGAGACCGAUAGCGAACAAGUACCGUGAGGGAAAGUUGAAAAGAACUUUGAAGAGAGAGUUCAAUAGUACGUGAAACCGACCAGGGGUAAACCUGUGGAACUCGAACGAGCGAACGGGGAGAUCAUCGCCUCCGGCCUGCGGCCCGGCGGUCGCGUGUCGUCGCCUCGCCUCCCGCGUCGUCCUUCGGGGCGGCGUCGUCGGAGCGCGUGGGGCCCGCGGCCGCCGACAGCGGUCCACCGGGGGCGUGCACUUCUCCCUCAGUAAAACACCGCGACCCGUCGCGCUGUGCGGUCGAAUGCGCCGUGCGGUUGACCCGCCCCCCGCGUCGGGGGCGGAGCCGCGGCGUCCACGGCCGCAGCGGCGACGGUAUAUAAUGUGAAACGAGGUUCGCGCCGGCGCACCUUCGGGUGCGCGUCCGACGCGCCGCGGUCUCGAUCGUCGCACGGUCCGGGUGCGCCCUAGCGGUCCCCGGUAACCGAGCGGUCGCGUCGAAGGCGUCAGUGGUGCGCUCUCGGACCCUAUGUCACGUAGUUGGCGCGUCCCAGUCAGCGGUGGGUUUGUUUCGGGCACUCACAGGACCCGUCUUGAAACACGGACCAAGGAGUCUAGCAUGUGCGCGAGUCACUGGGACAUUUUCGAAUUAAACCCACGGGCGCAAUGAAAGUGAACUGGCGGGCCUCGCGCCCGCCGGAGGGAGGAUGCGCGUCCGGUCGCUAACGCUCGGCCGGCGCGCCGCAUUCCNNNNNNNNNNNNNNNNNNNNNNNNNNNNNNNNNNNNNNNNNNNNNNNNNNNNNNNNNNNNNNNNNNNNNNNNNNNNNNNNNNNNNNNNNNNNNNNNNNNNUGAUGGAGGACGAGCGAUUCUGACGUGCAAAUCGAUCGUCGGAACUGGGUAUAGGGGCGAAAGACUAAUCGAACUAUCUAAUAGCUGGUUCCAUCCGAAGUUUCCCUCAGGAUAGCUGGCGCCCGUGAAACAUGACGCGCGAGCGCGUCAUUUGAUCAGUCUCAUUUGGUAAAGCGAAUGAUUAGAGGCAUUGGGGCCGAAACGGCCUCAACCUAUUCUCAAACUUUAAAUGGGUGAGAUCUCCGUCUUGCUUAAAUUAAGCGCCGUCAAACCGCGCUAGAAGUCGGAGUUCGGAUGUGGGUGCCAAGUGGGCCAAUUUUGGUAAGCAGAACUGGCGCUGUGGGAUGAACCAAACGUCGAGUUAAGGCGCCAAACGAACGCUCAUCGGAGACCAUAAAAGGCGUUGGUCGCUCAGGACAGCAGGACGGUGGCCAUGGAAGUCGGAAUCCGCUAAGGAGWGUGUAACAACUCACCUGCCGAAGCAACCAGCCCUGAAAAUGGAUGGCGCUGUAGCGUUCGGCCUAUACUCGACCGUCGCAGGCAGGAGGUGCGGCGGCGGCUACUCCCCUAGCGGGCGGGCCGUCGCAGUUUUGAAGCCGCGACGAGUAGGAUGGCCGCGGCGGUGAGCGCAGAAGGGUCUGGGCGUGAGCCCGCCUGGAGCCGCCGUCGGCGCAGAUCUUGGUGGUAGUAGCAAAUACUCAAGCGAGGUCCUUGAGGGCUGAUGUGGAGAAGGGUUUCGCGUUAACAGUCGUUGCACGCGAGUUAGUCGAUCCUAAGCCCUAGGAGAAAUCCGAUGUAGAUGAUGGUGUUGAAGUUGUUGAUUAUAUGAUAUGAUAUAAAAACACCCUUCGGGCGAAAGGGAAUCCGGUUGCAGUUCCGGAACCCGGCAGCGGAACCGUCUUAAAAAAACGUUCCCUCGUAAGAGUGUUCGUCGAGGUGACUCAAAAUGGCCUGAAGACGCCGACGGGAGAUCCGGAGAGAGUUAUCUUUUCUGCCUGAGCGUUCGAACGCGCCAUGGAAUCCCAUAGCGGGGAGAUAUGGCACGGGACGCGAAGAGCAUCGCCGAUGCGGCGGUGUCCGGAUCGGCCCCUCGGACCUUGAAAAUUCAGGUGAGGG